UGAGAGUAUACUGUAGUACGGUAUCGGUCGCUGCGUCUCGCGGGGUCUGCAGUUGCGUAACGGACUGCAGUGCAUUAACACACAUGUUCCUCCAAGCGUGAAGCAUGCAACACUCCACCUCCCCAACCCAGAACACACUGAGUACAUCAGAAACACUAAGCAGAACCCCGACUGGAGCUGAACUGGGAUCUGCAGAACAGAACUCACGAGCAGGUCAGUAUGAUCAUCAGGCUGGGUCGACUUACUCCUGGAUACUUCAAACUUCUGCAGACACAGAUGUCAGGUGAGGUUCAGGUGCAGCCGAAGUUUGGACCUGUCAAUCAUGUUGCCAUGGCGAUGGCGAUGGUUGGUGUGGGCAUGUCGUUCUACAGCGCCAGGCAGAUGGGUCAUCAGCAGGUCCAACACAAGCUGCACUAAAGACCCGAAGAACCACACUAACAGAACCUCAGUACUGUGCUAUAGAUCCGGAUAACCUCAGUUCUGUGCUACAGACCUGGAGAACCACACUAACAGAACCAGAGAUCCAUUCUGAAGCAGCCAAAGAACUACAUUAACACAACUGGAGAGCCACCGUUGCAGAACCAGAGAACCUUUCCAAUAGUACCAGAAAACCGAACUGAACAUGCUAACACAUCUGGAGAGCCAAGUUACAGGUGCCAGAGAAACAACUGAGCAGAACCAGAGAACCACUCUGGUUCUGUGUUCCCUGUACCGUGCACUGUUAACCCAAAGUCAUCAUGGGCAGUAAUUAACAGCUGUACUUUACUACUUUAGUAUCUGUACUUUGGUACUUUAGUGUCUGUAACUUAGACCAUUAUUAUGUGUACUUUAGCACUUUAGUAUUUCUACUUUAGUAUCUGUACUUUAGUACUUUAGUAUGUGUACUUUAGUAUUUUAGUAUGUGCACUUUAGUACUUUUGUAUCUGUACUUUUAUUACUUUAGUAUGUGUCCUUUAGUACUUUAGUAUGUGUACUGUAGUACUUUAGUAUGUGUACUUCAGUAUUUUAGUAUGUUUACUUAAGUACUUUAGUAUGUGUA